rnacentral:rRNA from 1 species
GAGCGCAACCCUUGUCCUUAGUUACCAGGCACGGUUAUGGUGGGCACUCUAAGGAGACUGCCGGUGGACAAACCGGAGGAAGGUGGGGAUGACGUCAAGUCAUCAUGGCCCUUACGGCCUGGGCUACACACGUGCUACAAUGGUCGGUACAAAGGGUUGCCAAGCCGCGAGGUGGAGCUAAUCCCAUAAAACCGAUCGUAGUCCGGAUCGCAGUCUGCAACUCGACUGCGUGAAGUCGGAAUCGCUAGUAAUCGUGAAUCAGAAUGUCCACGGUCGAAUACGUUCCGGGCCUU